ACGCGCAGAUUAGCGCAAAAUCUCCGGACGGAAGAGAUAACCGCCGUGCACGAUAUCAAAAGAAACGGGAAAUUGAGGAGACAUGGAGGCGAUGAGGUGAUGACUGGGGACGAUGUGGUGGGAGCUUAUUGGAGUGGGAGGUUGUCGGGGUAUGGCUUCUUAUAAAACGAAGGAGCGAACCAGAAUCGGUCUAAAAAAGACGAAAAAAGAAGCACCGCUCAGUCAUCGAAACUCGAAAGGGGGAAUCAGUUUCUUCUUUAAGGAGGAGAGAUUGAAGAGGGAAGAUGAGAAUCAAACUGGGAAAGAGCAAAGAGGAAAGAGGGGAAUCUAAUUCAGUCAGAAGAAAAGAGGGAAAAACCGAAAGCCGGGGAUUGUCUUUAUCGAAAACUGGAGACAGGCAAUGGUUCUUCUUCCCGAUGUCCAUAAUCGCACAACUAUGCACUCUGUGCGCUAUACUUGAUUAGACUUUUGAUAUAUAAUUCUGGUAGAAGCUUUGAAGUGAUUCCAGGAACAUGCAUCCACGAAAAGCCAAAGAAGGGCUCAGCAUGCAUGUUGCUAUAGUAGGAGGCUGAUGACAUAAAGGACAUAAUAUUUGUAUUCGAUGAAAUUUUAGAUGAGAAUGUGUGCUUAUAUUGCUUUACUUUCAACUUUCUUCUCACAGCAAGUGGAGGAAAAGAAUAAACCCAGAACAUGUUCCCUUGGAAGAUUUUGCAAUUUUGGUUGAGUAGGUCAUUGA